rnacentral:lncRNA from 7 species
UUGUUUCUUAAUCUCACGCCGGGUAUACAUACAUCAAAGAACCUCCUCUCCCUCCUAUAAAUUGGAGCGAGACAACUUGCUGGAGGAGAGAGAGAGAAUUCAGGAAAACAGAAGGAGCACACACCUACCAAAGAAGCAAUCUCAACUUCUGGCAUUCAUGGUUCCUUUUGAGAAGACUUCUGGGAUAUUCCUUCUCCAGAGCUGCCAGACACUGCAGAGCAAACAGCCUUCAAAGGAAAAGCUGGCUCUUUCACGCUCAUGGAUAGGAUCCAUUGACACCUGCUCACUUAGAAGAGGACUUUAAGAUACAUGAAUCUUUUUUCUUGGGGCAGCUCUUUGGAUCUCUGAGGAUUGACUACUACCUGGAGUAUGCCUGAUACGCUCCUGACAGUGGAAAGAAUCACAUCAGUGGUGAAGAUGCCUGCAGCUGCCCUUCUCCUUUCUUCACUUUUUUUUGGCCUACAAAUCUGUUACCAAAUUCCCCCCCUUCAGCUCUCUAUGCUGAGUGAUGGAGAGAAGCAGCCAGAACAGGCUGGACCUGCAGAUACUAAUGGCCUUUUCUCUCUCGUUUCUGCUCUGACCUCUUGGCUACCUCCUUGUACUUCAACACUGAACUCUCAUUUACACAAAUGUUUCACAGCAGCUCAGCAUCACCUUCACAUUUCUCCCAUUUCCUGUGCUGAAAUACAUGCUUCCUUCAAGAGAGGAGAACAAACAUUUACAUUAAGGCUACAGUCCUUCACUCAGAUGUGUGCAUUCAUCAUUACAUGUGGGUAACAAUAAUAUGCCCUCUGGUUCCAUGUCUCACAAAAGCACAUGCAUUCCUUGCUACAGCCAUAUGCCAUUUGAUGCAGUGAGUCUUCUCUACAGUUCUCUUAGAAAUAUAAGUCCACUCAUUUAUAUUAAUCUGACACAUUUUGACAGAUUUUCUCAUCCAAGGCUUACCUAUUUGGGGAAAUCCUAUCCUCUGUUACUGUUCCUGUUUGUUGCUUUCUUUUUUAUUAUUUUUUAAUUGUUUGUUUAUUCAUUUUUAUAAUAAAUAAACAGCAUACUACCAAAU